UAGUAUUAUUAUUCAAAUAAACUAAUUUUGUUUGGCGGCAUUUAAUCUUAUUAGGGGAACUUGUUACCUAACCGAUAAUCCGCGAUAAUUUUCCCUUUACAUUCCAAAAAUCUAUAUACCGCCAUCCUAAGAGUUCGUUUAAAUAUUACUCUCACAAUAACUUCUAAAAAGUUAGGUCGAGGUGUAGUCUAUAUGUAAGACGUAAAUGAGUUACAUUAAACACAUUUAAGGAUUAUUAAAUUAAAACUUAAUAUAAAAUAGGAUUUAUAAGUAAUAUAUUAAAUAAUAUUUAUAUAUGAAAAAGAUAAUAAAUGUGC
rnacentral:rRNA from 1 species